AUUGAACGCUGGCGGCAGGCCUAACACAUGCAAGUCGAGCGGCAGCGGGAAAGUAGCUUGCUACUUUUGCCGGCGAGCGGCGGUCGGGUGAGUAAUGCCUGGGAAAUUGCCCAGUCGAGGGGUAUAACAGUUGGAAACGACUGCUAAUACAGCAUACGCCACACGAGGGAAAGCAGGGGACGUUCCGACCUUGCGCGACUGGAUAUGCCUAGGUGGAAUUAGCUAGUUGGUGAGGUAAUGGCUCACCGAGGCGACGAUCCCUAGCUGGUCUGAGAGGAUGAUCAGCCACACUGGAACUGAGACACGGUCCAGACUCCUACGGGAGGCAGCAGUGGGGAAUAUUGCACAAUGGGGGAAACCCUGAUGCAGCCAUGCCGCGUGUGUGAAGAAGGCCUUCGGGUUGUAAAGCACUUUCAGCGAGGAGGAAAGGUUGAUGCCUAAUACGUAUCAACUGUGACGUUACUCGCAGAAGAAGCACCGGCUAACUCCGUGCCAGCAGCCGCCGUAACAC
rnacentral:rRNA from 1 species